GGGAUUGUGGCUCAGUGGUAGAGCACUUGCCUAGCACAUAUGAGUCCCUGGGUUCGAUCCUCAGCACCA
rnacentral:tRNA from 1 species